GAAUGACAUCACAGGAACAAGCUAAUUUUAGUCCAGGUAAACACUCAUAGAGAAAAAAGAUCUAAUGUGCUUUAUUGCUCCUUCAAUCCAAAGUGCAUGAAUACUUUAUUAUUAAAGCUGGUACUUUACCCACCUGUUCACAUCCCCAAAUGGGUCCAAAUAUAAAGAUACAUGAUCUAUGUAAAUGCUAUAACAAAUCACAUGAUCCUCUCAUACACCAGAUGUAGUCAUGGUCGUAUCUGAAUCAGUGAACGUUUAGGAUUGCUUACAAUGAGUGUCCAGUGUCCCUGGUGGCAAUUGCCCCAGCAGCAACAUGUUUUACAAGGAUAAGAACAAAAACAUAGAACUUACACACACCGCAAGUUCAGAUAUCAAGAUACUGAAAAGCGUUUACAACAGGCAUCGAUACAGUCACCUACACGAUCAUUUCUGCCCAAGGAUUUUCAUGCCACGCCUACGUGGCAUCUGGAAAUGUCACCAGUUAAUCCGAACUCCAUUUAAACCGUAACACCCACUGCAAGCCCACCGCGGAGUCAACGCAGCAAAAAAGUGACGUAAUUAUAGCAAUUGAGUAAGUAGCUGCCCUGGAAUCGACUCAGUGUGGUUGCACCAUGGAGCCUUGUCCAGGCAAUAUACAAGCUGUGAAUCCAAAUCUAGCCCCUAUGUCCUUCACACUUUGGAUGCUCUAAAUGGUCACCUGUUGCUGACUAAACUGUGAGGGUGACUUGCUAGGAUGGUAAAGAACCUGUCACCUGUCCACCUGGGGAGAUUGACAACAUGACAGAGCAGCCCGGAUGCUGUCCGUUCAUAGAAGUGCUUCUAUUCACUUUUACAACAAUGAUUUUGAGAUCAGAGAAAAAAAGAGAUGACAACAGAGCACAGAUCACUUCAUGUGUUCAAUUGGGAAGUGUUAAGGUUUUAUUUCAUACUAUUUAGGCUUUUACAGAUUUAUUCAAUUGUGAAUAAUGAUAAAGCAGAAAACCAUAUCCCUUGUAAAAAUUCUAGUUGAUAUAUAGCAUUUUUUCCCUCCAUCCUGAAAAGUUAAUUAAGAAAUGUAAAUGACCGAGCAAGGUGUUAAACACAUUUUAGCCUAAUUAAUAGCAAAACACAUUGAUUCUGGUCUUCAUUUUGACAUUGUUCCAGGAAAAGUGAUGAAAUGUUGGUGUUGCUGGAGUUGCCUUUUACCAGCUUGUGCCUUUUCAGAAAUGUAUCUUUAUUUAAUCUGUUUCUAAGUAAAAAAGUUAAACCCAAACUACAAUUGGAUAUAUACACAUUCGUACGGAGUGUCAGUGGAUGUCAUAGGUCAGCUCAUUGAACAAAUAGCAAUGUCACACCAUGCAAUUAAUCCGCUCCUGUCAUACCAUAAUAAGAAAUACCCGACCCUUUCUGACGUGUAUUUUCCAAUCCAAUAGAAUCCAACCCUGUGCCACGUGUCCCAGGACUAUACAGGUAUGAGGGGCCGCAGGGCUGGUAUUAGACCCAGGAGCAGGACCACCAGGCUAGGGUGGAUGGCCCCCGCGUGAGCCGCCUCAGGCUCCGGUUCUGGGAUUGCGCAGUCCGUAUAGGGUGCCACGCAGGCUGCGUAGGCCAUGGCAUGGGCAAUGUAACUCUGCUCCUGGACCCCAUGGAAGAGGUGAGCCAUGGGGCCCUUGGCAAAGACGGCCACGUCCUCAGAACCAUGGGUCUCAGAGUCCAGAAGCACGGCGGACUGCUGAAUGUAACCGUUUGCAGCUGAAGGAGCGUAGGGCCAAGAGAGGUGCCAGGAAGAGGAGAAUGAAUAAUGUGUGCAGUUAUUUAAAUUGAAAACCUGACAGGGGAAACAAUGGUGACCAAGAUAGAAUAAAUAUGUAGUUGAUUUGGUUAAGACUUUGAUUGUUGCUGGUGUUAUAUGAUCAACACAUUAAACACACGUUAACAUUC